CCUGGAUGCUGGGUCUCAUAGCAACUCCUAGGGCCUUUCACCCUGUUGAUUGACAAGCCAUCCCUGGAUGACGCAGAGUUCAGUUCCAGAUUACUGUUCAUCCAGGAUCCUGCCUUAAGAGCCUAUGUGAUCUCAACUACAAAGAACCUUCUCCUAGUACUGUUCCAGCUCACAGAAGGUACAUUGAGUGAGCCUCACAUAACCAUGAGCUCUUUGGCAGCAUCAACAACAAGUUCGAACCUGUUCAAGUUUGUCAAAAGAAGAAGCAAUGAGUUUAAUUGUUAUAAAACAAGCACAUUUGGG